GUUCACACUUGCNAUCUACGCAAAUCAAUACAACUUUCAACAACGGAUCUCUUGGCUCUCGCAUCGAUGAAGAACGCAGCGAAAUGCGAUACGUAAUGUGAAUUGCAGAAUUCAGUGAAUCAUCGAAUCUUUGAACGCACCUUGCGCCCCUUGGCAUUCCGAGGGGCACACCCGUUUGAGUGUCGUGAAAUCUUCAACCUUCUCCGCUUCUUUUUGAUCGGGGGGAAGGCUUGGACUUUGGAGGCUUUUUGCUGGCAUCUCUUUGAAGCCAGCUCCUCUUAAAUGCNUUAGCGGGUUUUGUCAAUCCUCGACGUGAUAAAGUUUUUCUACGUCUGAAGCUUGGCUUUAAUACCCGCUUCUAAUGGUCUCGUCGAGACGCUUGGNCGAGUUUUGCCCCUCAGUUGGGUGGGACUUUGGCCCAUAUGAACCAUUUGACCUCAAAUCGGGUGAGACUACCCGCUGAACUUAAGCAUAUCAAUAAGCGGA
rnacentral:rRNA from 1 species